rfam:Agrococcus casei LMG 22410 genome assembly, contig: Scaffold4
GCGGGUGUAGCUCAAUGGUAGAGUUCCAGUCUUCCAAACUGGCUGUGCGAGUUCGAUUCUCGUCACCCGCU